ACAAACUUGGUCAUUUAGUGGAAGUGGGCUGAAUUUUCAGCUUAAGAUAUAGUCGGGCCCUUUGAGAAAUCUAAGGGGAGUCACUAGAUUACUGUUCCGUAGGUGAACCUGCGGAAGGAUCAUUAAAAAAUUUAACUGUUCAAAUAUUUUCCAAUAUUUGAACUAUUCAACCUUUGAUUCACAUGAGUUGAGUGAAUCAAAAAAACCCUUUUAAACUUGUUUAUAAAAUUCUGAAUUUUUAAAUUUUUCAAAUGAAAAUUAUAAAACUUUCAGCAACGGAUCUCUUGGCUCUCCCAUCGAUGAAGAACGCAGC
rnacentral:misc_RNA from 1 species